rnacentral:rRNA from 1 species
GAUGAAUGCUGGCGGCGUGCUUAACACAUGCAAGUCGAGCGGUAAGGCCCUUCGGGGUACACGAGCGGCGGACGGCUGAGUAACGCGUGGGAACAUGCCCUAAAGUGAGGAAUAACUGCCCGAAAGGGUGGCUAAUGCCGCAUAUGAUCUUCGGAUUAAAGGAUUUAUCCGCUUUAGGAGUGGCCUGCGUACGAUUAGCUUGUUGGUGAGGUAAUGGCUUACCAAGGCGACGAUCGUUAGCUGGUCUGAGAGGAUGACCAGCCAGACUGGAACUGAAACACGGUCCAGACUCCUACGGGAGGCAGCAGUGAGGAAUCUUCCACAAUGGGCGAAAGCCUGAUGGAGCAACGCCGCGUGCAGGAUGAAGGCCCUCGGGUCGUAAACUGCUUUUAUGAGUGAAGAAUAUGACGGUAACUCAUGAAUAAGCACCGGCUAACUACGUGCCAGCAGCCGCGGUA